rnacentral:rRNA from 1 species
UAGUAACUGCGAGUGAAGCGGGAAAAGCUCAAAUUUAAAAUCUGGCGGUCUUUGGCUGUCCGAGUUGUAAUUUAGAGAAGCGUCUUCCGCGUCGGGCCGUGCACAAGUCUCCUGGAAUGGAGCGUCAUAGAGGGUGAGAAUCCCGUCUCUGGCAUGGAUCCCCGGUGCUUCUGUGAUGCGCUCUCAAAGAGUCGAGUUGUUUGGGAAUGCAGCUCAAAAUGGGUGGUGAACUCCAUCUAAAGCUAAAUAUUGGCGAGAGACCGAUAGCGAACAAGUACCGUGAGGGAAAGAUGAAAAGCACUUUGGAAAGAGAGUGAAACAGUACGUGAAAUUGUUGAAAGGGAAACGCUUCAAGUCAGUCGCGUCGACCGAGACUCAGCCUCGCCUCGGCUUGGCGUACUUCUCGGCUGACGGGCCAGCAUCAAUUUCGUCCCUCGAAUAAUGGCAAGAGAAAGGUGGCACCCUUACCGGUGUGUUAUAGUCUCCUGUCGCAUGCGAGGGGUGGGAUUGAGGACCUCAGCACGCACCUCUCGGUGUCGGGGCUUCGGCUCACGCUACGUGCUUAGGAUGUUGGCGUAAUGGCUUUAAACGACCCGUCUUGAAA